UACGGGGGGGGCAAGCGUUGUUCGGAAUUACUGGGCGUAAAGCGCACGUAGGCGGCUUUGUAAGUUAGAGGUGAAAGCCCGGGGCUCAACUCCGGAAUUGCCUUUAAGACUGCAUCGCUAGAAUUGUGGAGAGGUAAGUGGAAUUCCGAGUGUAGAGGUGAAAUUCGUAGAUAUUCGGAAGAACACCAGUGGCGAAGGCGACUUACUGGCCACAUAUUGACGCUGAGGUGCGAAAGCGUGGGGAGCAAACAGG
rnacentral:rRNA from 1 species